rnacentral:lncRNA from 1 species
GGGGAGGGGUGCGGCGGGGGAGGGGAGGAGGCCUGGCCCCGCGGUCGCAGCCGCCACCGCCCGCCCCGACCUCCCGGACCGCCGCGGGGCCACGGGCCCGAGCCCCGGAUUCGCGCUCCGGAUUCGCCUCGGCUCGGCCGCGCGUAUAUUUGCCUUCCCUCCAUGAUCUCCAACACUAUCCGAUAAAGUAGAAGCAACUGAGGUACCGUGAAAGAGAAAGGAGCUGGAACUGAGAAAAAGCAGAGGUGGAGUCUUGCUCUGUCGCCCCCAAGCUGGAGUGUAGUGACACGAUCUCGGCUCACCGAAACCUCCACCUCCCAGGUUCAAGCAAUUCUCCUGCCUCAGCCUCCCGAGUAGCUGGGAUUACAGGCGUGCACCACUGCACUGGGCUAAUUUUUGUGUAUUUUUUUUAGUAGAGACCGGGUUUCACCAUGUUGGCCAGGCUGGUCUUGAACUCCUGACCUCAGGUGAUCUGCCCACCUCGGCCACCCAGAGUGCUGGGAUUACAGGCGUGAGCCACCGUGCCUGGCCAAAAUAAAUAAAUUUUAAAAUAGAAGUAACUCAACUUCUGAGCUAUGGAAUAGUUCUCUGUACCUCCAGUACCUAAUAAAGAACCCAAAUACUGCAAUAUAUCUUUUCGAUUAAAAGAUUUUUUGUUUUUUAAUUGAUUAAAAGAUUUUAUCUGGUCUGCUCAUCCUUCUAUUGCUGCCUUUUAGCUAAAUCCAUUUCCUUGCUCUCACUGAGUAAGGAAUAUCAUCUUAAUCAGAAGGAGGAAGAUGUAAGCCUAAAAUUGUUGUAAUUGUUGUCUUUGCCUUCUGCAAGUUUUUUAGAUCUGCUUUUAAAAAUUUAUUUUAUUUUAUUUUAUUUUUAAGACAGAGUCUUCCUCUGUCACCCAGGCUGGAGUGCAGUGGCAUGAUCUCAGCUCACUGCAGUAACUGCCUCCCAGGCUCAAGCAAUCCUCCCACCUCAGCUUCUGGAGUAGCUGGGGUUACAAGCACAGGGGCCACCAUGCCCAGCUGUAGAUCUUCUUCGAUUGACCACUGUGAUGGAAACUGAAUAAUCCUAUACAAAAUGGCAAAAACCAAACUUUUUCCCAUUUGACAUUGCUUUUUAACAAUUUCUUAAUAGUUUUCUGUUGGCUGGCCAGCUAGAAGUAUCUUGCUUUUCAUCUGUUUUCAAGCCCCAGUUGUUCCAGCAGAAUUGCACACUUUUCCCAGCUGAUUAACUAUCCUUUAGGUUAUAAAUUUGUCAUGGGAAAUGCUAACCCACACUGGCUUCCUCUUACCCCUUCACUUGCUCUUGGGCCCUUUCACCAUCUAGCACUCCAGUCUGUAAAGGAAAAUAUUUUUUUUUCUUUUCUUUUUUUUGGAGACGGAGUCUUGCUCUGUCACCCGGGCUGGAAUGCAGUGGUGUGAUCUCGGCUCACUGCAACCUCUGCCUCCCGGGUUGAAGCGAUUCUCCUGCCUUAGCCUUCCAAGUAGCUGGGAUUACAGGCAUCCACCACCACACCCAGCUAAUUUUUUAUAUUUUUAGUAGAGACAGGGUUUCACCAUGUUGGCCAGGCUGGUCUUGAACUCCUGACCUGAAGUGAUCCACCCGCCUCGGCCUCCGAAAGUGCUGGGAUUAUAGGCAUGAGCCACCGCACUCGACUGAGCAUCAUUUUUAUUUCAGACUGAAUGAGAUAUAAUUAAUACAUUAAAAAUCAACUUAUUCUAUAUUCCAAAACUGUAGAACUCCUAAAAUGUAUCCCAGAGUCAAUAAUAAAGUUAUCCACUCACUUCAUUAGAGGAAGAGUUUGAGCUUUGGUGUCAGAAAGGUAGCACCUGGAAUCCAAGCUCUGCCACUUAAUAACUAUGACCCUGGGCAAGCUAUUUAUCCCUCAAGUCUCAGCUCCUCCAUCUGUAAAAUGGUGUAUUAAUGCCUAUCUCAAAGGGUUGUGGUGAGGUUUAAGUGAGCUAACUUACAUAAAGCACUGGCUGUAAUAAGGUACUCGAUAAUUGGUAGCUGCAUUCUAAACCAUCAAGUUUACUGUUAGCCACUUCUCUCUUCAGAGGUUCACUUAAGAUGACUGCAAGGUGAGAAGAUUCACAACCUGAGUUACGAGCUUAAGCACCUUAAAAUCCUUUAGGAGCAAAGGACUGACUUUAGUUACUCUUCUCCCAGUAGUUGGCCCCAUUCCCUUGCUUUCCAUCACUGUAUAAAGAAGCUCAAUUCUGGCAUGAUAUGAAACAAACCAUAUUUUACUUGACUCAAAAACUUCUCCUAAUGGAGGAAUAAACACUAUUGUUAGGUUGGAAACUGAAUGUUAGUCACAGAUACGGUCUGUAAUUUUCUAAUCAUGAGAGAUGUUACCUGGAUGCUGAAAAAUGCCAAAUCUCAAAAUCCUGAGGGGAGGAUUCAUUACUAAAUAAAGAAUGGCUAGCACAAGGAAUGGGAAAGAAAACUAAGGUUUUCUGAGUGUCUUUUCCAAGGACUCUUUAUAGUGCUGGGCAGGUUCCCAUUCCUUAUUUAAUCUUCUCAACAACACUAUAAGGUAGCAUCUUUUUAGGGUACCAUGUCCUGGGUCUUGCCUGUUGCCCUACUGUCAUCUUACUUUCUAUUAUCUGUAUUUUAUGGUUGAAGAAAUGGAAUCCAAAGGAAGGUAUUUAAAUAUUCUGUGCAUGGUUAUAAAGCCAGAACACUCCUCCUUUCUGCAGUUAGAUUUCUUCUAAGAAUAUCCCAUGCAUACCUUGUCCAACUGCAGCCUGGCUUCUCUAACAAAGCCACCAUGACCUGCUGUUUGCUGAAUCCAUGGUCGCUCAGGUCUUCAUCUUACGUGACCUCUGUGCAGCACUUUAUACUGUUGGCCGCUCCCCUCUCUUCUGUGCUCUCUCUUUGGCUUCUGUGGCAACAUUUCCUGCUUGGCCUCUUUCACCCUCUAGCUCUUCCUUUGUGGUGUCCUUUUCUCCUCCCCAAACCUCUGUAGAUUGCACUUCGUCCUUAAGGGGAUCUGAUCCUUGACUGGCUACAGCUGCUAUCUGCCAAUAAUUCCCACACCUAUAACUCUAGCCCAGAGCUGUCUUUCAGGAUCCAGUCCUAUAUAUCCAACAAGAUCUGGACAUGUGCCUGCCUGCCCGAGUUACCUCAUACAGCUAACUAAAAAUUCAUCACUUUCCUUCCCAAAGUCCUCUUCCAGCAGUUCCUUUUUCUGCCAGUGGACUCACCAUCCUCCUAGUCAUCCAGGCCAGACACGGGUGUCAUCCUUGACUCCUCCCUUUGCCUUAGACCCCUACCCAAAUUAUCAAGUCCUGCAAUUCUCUCUUCAUUUCAUCUCCGAUCUCCACUGCCACUAACCUAGUUCUGGCUGCCUUUGGAUCUCACCUGGACUACUGCAUUAGGGCAGGUCUCUCUGUCUCCACUUUCUCUCCCUCAUUUCCUUCUCUCUUGACAUUGUAGUCAAGUCACCUUUUGAAAAUGCAAAUCUGAUCAUGUGAUUCUCUCUAUAAAACCCUUAACUCUGGGCCAGGUACAGUGGCUCACACCUGUAAUCCCAGCACUGUGGGAGGCCCACACGGGUGGAUUGUCAGGAGUUCAAGACCAGCCUGGCCAACAUGGUGAAACCCCGUCUCUACUAAAAAUACAAAAAUUAGCCGGGUGUGGUGGUGCACGCCUGUAAUCCCAGCUACUCGGGAGGCUGAGGCAGGAGAAUUGCUUAAACCUGGGAGGCGAAGGUUGCAGUGAGCCGAGAUCAUGCCAUUGCACUCCAGCCUGGGCAACAAGAGCAAGACUCCAUCUCAAAAACAAAACAAAACAUAAAACACUUAACUCUGUACACUAUAAAAGGGUGAAUAUUAUGGUAUGUGAAUUAUGUCUCAAUUAAAAAAAAAUAAAACUUAACCUGGUUUACAAAGCCUUCUAUGAUUUGGUCUGGCUCAGCGUCUCUCAUUGGCUUCCCUCCCCCGCCUCCCGCUUUCCUCUUAGCUUUACCAUGCUACAGUUCCUUCUGCCUCCGAGCUCUCCAAACUCUCCAAUCUACGUUUGCAUUUGCUACUUAUCCUGUGCAGGAACCAUUCUCUCCUCCACCUAUCCCUUGUCCUCCCCACUUGACUGACUCCUCCUUGUCCUUCAAAUCUUAGCUUGAGAUGAUACUUCCCCAGAAGGCUUGGUCCCCCCGAACUGGGUUAGGUUCUCCUGAUGUGUGUUUCAUACUUAGCUCUUUUGUAGCAUUCACCAAAUAUUUGUUCAUUCUGUAUUUAUUGAGUGACUGCUCUGGGCUGGGCACUGGGCUAGGGCUGAGUAUUUCAUAAAUGAGAGCUGUGGCCCCUGCCCCCAUGGUACUUACAGUCUAAGAAGGGAAGAAAAUGGACAUUAAACAGUGAAUUACACUAAAUAUUUUAAUUAUAAUUAUGGCAUUUCAGAACACCCUGGGGAGGGCGUGUUAAGGGACUUGACAUAACUGGAGGUAUCAGAUAAAGUGUCAUUUAAGCAACUUUAAGGAGCCAGGUGGCCAACUGAAGAGUGGUGGGUGGAUUGUUCCACACAGAGGAACAGCAUGUAGGAAGGCUCUGAUGCAAAGCUUGGGGGGCAUUUCAGAAACUGAAAGGCCAACGUGGGAGACAAAGAAGAGCCUGAAAGAGCCAAAUCUUACCUUCUGGACCAUGGUAAGGGUUUCUAAGUUCAUCUUAAGAGAAGUAGGUUGCCUUUGAAGACUUUUAACAUGGGAACUUUAAAAGUUCCCCGUGGCGGCCGGGCGCAAUGGCUCACACCUGUAAUUCCAGCACUCUGGGAGGCCGAGGCGGGCGGAUCACGAGGUCAGGAGUUCGAGACCAGCCUGACCAACAUGGUGAAACACCGUCUCUACUAAAAAAAUACAAACUUAGCUGGGUGUGGUGGCACACGCCUGUAGUCCCAGCUACUUGGGAGGCUGAGGCAGGAGAAUUGCUUGAACCGGGAGGUGG